rnacentral:lncRNA from 12 species
CCUGAGCACGGCCGUGAUGAAGCUGGAUCUGAGCUGCAGUGUUUGGGUUCUGGCCGUCGGUUUGCUGCCGUUGGUCCGAAUCACUGCCGGAUCCAUUUUGGGCGCAGCUGUUAACAUUGAGCUGCUUGACCAGGACAGAUCGCAGCCGGUCAGGGCUCAUUACAGCGUGGUGUCCAGUUUGCCCUGUCCAGCUCUGAAUGAGCUGUGUAACGGAGGAGACUGCGUGGAUCAGCUCAGCUCCUCUCCUCUGACAGGGGCUUUACCGUCACCCGGCUGGUGUCUUCAUCAGUGGCAGAAGAACAUCCCUGAACACCACACAUCAGCUCUUCAGCUCAGAUCCGACAGAGCCGUGACACUGGAUUCACGAGCAGAUCUGUCUGUCAGAGCCGACACUAACCGUGUUAACCAGCCUCCAUUUGUGGCUCUUCCUCCUCCAGUCAGGUUACAAGCUGCUUGUCCUCAAGAAAUUCCGGUGAAUGUGAUGGAUUUGGAUGGAGAUGAGAUUCGCUGCCGUUAUAAGAAGACUGAACUUGGUGAAUUUCUGCAGCUUAAUGAAGAGACAUGUACACUGCUGUAUGAAGGUAGAGCGGGUUUGGGUCAGUAUUCAGUUCUGAUCAUGGUGGAGGAUUUUCCUUCAUCUGACACAGAGGCCGAGCCGUUCUCCACUGUACCUCUGCAUCUCCUAAUAACAGUUGAAAGCGGAGCUGGCUGCUCAGUUGUGCCGGAGUUCACAGGCGUCAGUCCAGCAGGAGGCGCUGUAAUCCACGUACUGCCCUUUGAGGAGGUCCAUGUCAACAUUACAGUGGACUCAAGAGUACAGAGUGUGUCUGAAAUUGCUGUGACUGGUCCGCCGGGCCUCUUCAUAUCAUCAAUGGAAAUAGGCCAGAGCUUCUACAGCUCCGUCACGCUGUCCUGGGUCCGAGGUCCGAAUCAGUUCACCCAUCUGCUGUCCGUUUGUUUCGCUGCUAAUACUCCAAGCCUGCAGUCUAACAUCAGGUGCAUAUGGCUUCAGCAAACACAAACAGACCCUUUGCCGACUGGAACAGAGUUGAAAUGUAAGGAGCGCGAGCUUCAGAUGUCUCUAGUGCUGCCCAUUUCCUUCCUGGAGAACCUGCAUUUCUCUGCUCUCCAGCUGAAUGAUCCGACCUGUCCAGUGUUUUAUAACUCGACCCAUGUCACCGCCACCUUCUCUCUGACGGGCUGCGGAACCAAGAGGAUGCAUUUAGGAUCAGAAUUGCUGUACACCAACACUUUACGCAGCAUCAAUCCUAACUCCACUAUAAGCCGCGUGCCCACUCUCAUCCUGCCGCUUGCCUGCCGGAUUCCUGGUCAACAAGCUAAAGGUCCGGCUUUUAAAAUCUCCAUUCCUGAAGAAGUGAAGACGUUUGGUGCCGUGUCCUUCUGGCUGGAGUUCCAUCUUCCCGGAAAGGGUCCUAUGGCCAGCAAGACUCGUCUAUCAGAUUUGCGCAGUUCACCGCCAGUGCGUGCGGCUCGAGAGCUACGCGCUGCAGACCGGGUGGACAUGCUGGACCUGCAUGUGUUCUCCAACUGCUCUUUGGCUCGUGCUGAGCUCAUGGUGGGCCGCUGUGUGGAGUCAGAAACAGAAGACUUUACAAGCACAAGGCCUCUGCUGAACCAGGGCUGUGUAUCUGGAAAUGGAACCUUGGAGAUCCUGACAUCAACUUCAACAGUUCGGAUUUUCCGCUUAUAUCUCGGUUCUCUGGGAAUAAAGGGAGACACGAUGUAUGUUGAGUGUGUAGUGCACCUCUGUAUUACCACAAAACAAACUGACAGAUGUUCUGAUCCCUGUACGGGAACGCCGGACCCGACCAUAGUAGACAGCAUUCUGACCCGCAGCUACACUGUGCGAUCAGGGCCCGUUUCCCUCAUUAAAGUCACAGAAACCAGCACUACAGUGGCUAAACCGCAAUCUGCUACUCCAGUCGCUCAGCCUUCCACCAGCCAGGCCACAACAGCUUCUGCCUCUCGCCGUGAGUAUUUUAAAACUAACAUUGCCAUUGUGCACAUUUCUGUGACACAACACAUAUGACAAUAUCUUUGCUCUUCUCUGUUUCAGCUCUGGAUACAGGUGCAUUCUGGAUAGUUGCUGUGUCAUUGCUUGUGCCCAUGCGUCUCCCUUGAGCUGUUAUUACACAUUAGAGAACUUUGUAGAGCAGUUUAUUUGUGACUAAUCAAAAUGAUCUUUUCUUCUUAACCACCAUUACGAUGUUUCUUUAUAUAUCCUUGAAUCACGUAAAAAGCACAUAUUGUAGGAAGACAUACUUCAUGCCUUUACAGUUAUUAACAAGUUUUAGGUAGCAUCAAGAAACAUCUACUCCUGCUCUUCUAAUCUUUUAUUUUUAAGCAACUAUAAUAACAUGAUAAAAUUCAUAAUAAUAGGCUUUUUUCCCGUUUCUUUUUUUUUUUUUUUUUUUACAAGAAUAAAUGAAAUAAAUCACAGUGUAAAGUAAAAAGUGAAACUUAUGGCAUUUAUUCACCCUCAUGUUUUCCAAACCAGUAUGAAGGAAUAAAGACUGAUGUUUAUCAUAAUGUUAACGCUUCUCUUUUUCCUUAUGAUAUCAUGAAAGCGGACAGUAACCAGGGUCUGUUGUAAAAA